rnacentral:rRNA from 1 species
AUUGAACGCUGGCGGCAGGCCUAACACAUGCAAGUCGAACGAGUGGCGGACGGGUGAGUAAUGUCUGGGAACCUGCCCGAUAGAGGGGGAUAACUACUGGAAACGGUAGCUAAUACCGCAUACCAUCGGACUUGCCCAGUUGGGAGUAGCUAGUAGGCGGGGUAAUGGCACACCUUGGCGACUAUACCUAGCUGGGCUGAGAGGAUGAACAGCCACACUGGAACUGAGACACGGCCCAGACUCCUACGGGAGGCAGCAGUGGGGAAUAUUGCACAAUGGGCGCAAGCCUGAUGCAGCCAGGCCGCGUGUAUGAAGAAGGCCUUCGGGUUGUAAAGUACUUUCAGCGGGGAGGCGUUACUCGCAGAAGAAGCACCGGCUAACUCCGUGCCAGCAGCCGCGGUAAUUC